rnacentral:rRNA from 1 species
UGGGGAAUAUUGCGCAAUGGGGGGAACCCUGACGCAGCCAUGCCGCGUGAAUGAAGAAGGCCUUCGGGUUGUAAAGUUCUUUCGGUAUUGAGGAAGGUUGAUGUGUUAAUAGCACAUCAAAUUGACGUUAAAUACAGAAGAAGCACCGGCUAACUCCGUGCCAGCAGCCGCGGUAAUACGGAGGGUGCGAGCGUUAAUCGGAAUAACUGGGCGUAAAGGGCACGCAGGCGGUUAUUUAAGUGAGGUGUGAAAGCCCCGGGCUUAACCUGGGAAUUGCAUUUCAGACUGGGUAACUAGAGUACUUUAGGGAGGGGUAGAAUUCCACGUGUAGCGGUGAAAUGCGUAGAGAUGUGGAGGAAUACCGAAGGCGAAGGCAGCUCCUUGGGAAUGUACUGACGCUCAUGUGCGAAAGCGUGGGGAGCAAACAGGAUUAGAUACCCUGGUAGUCCACGCUGUAAACGCUGUCGAUUUGGGGGUUGGGGUUUAACUCUGGCGCCCGUAGCUAACGUGAUAAAUCGACCGCCUGGGGAGUACGGCCGCAAGGUUA